ACCGGGCUUGUUGGUGGACAGCGUCCUGCUCAGAGAGACCAGCGACCUGACCUUCCCUCUGGAAGAUGCUGCCAUCCUGACUGCCACUGAUGCCAACAUGAGCUGUUCCUCAUCCAACGACGUGUCUGCGGAUGAAAUAAGACGCACAGCCCGCCCGGACAAACUGUAAUCACCGAAAGAGUCAACUUGCUUGAACUCAACUCUGACAUCUGCUCGGCAUGACACCUCACAGGGAGACGCCAUGUUGUUUAUACGGAGUUUAUUCUCGUCUUCUUCCGGUUGACGUUCAGGCUCUUUCACGCUGCAGCGCCACCUCAGGUCAAAGAAGAGAAAAGAAUGAGAGCUAACUUCACUCAGAGAUAUAGAAAGAAAGAGAAAGAAACCAGGCUGUAUUUAAAGACGUCUUGAAAACAAGUUUUAACAAAGUCCUGGAGAAGUGCCCAAUGCUGGAGGACCUCCUGCUUUACCCCUGGCUCAGAUAAACUCCUCUCUGACACAAACACACACGCAUACUGAAUUCACAUCUUGCCAUACAAAUGUGAUACAGUAACCAACUUUCUUCUUUCAGAAAAAAAGAAAAUUGGGAGAUUCAAAAUUUCCUCACAGUAAUGUUUGCAUCAGUCUAUCAGAUGAAUCCCCUCCAAGUCCAAUAUUUACAUCAGUUACAGUGAUAAUGCUUGGUGUCUACUUUCAGCCACCGCAGUAGAAUGCCAGGAAUGAAUCUCAUUGAAAUUGUAGUUGCAUUUGCUAUUUAAUUUAAUUGUCAUGGAUGAUACACAGACAACCCAA